rnacentral:tRNA from 1 species
GCCGAUGUGGUGAAAUUGGUAAACACGCGAGGUUUAGGACCUCGUGCCGCAAGGCUUGAAGGUUCGAGUCCUUCCAUCGGCA